UUUGGGGCUUGCAAUUAUCUUUUGAUACAGUGGACGAAAAGGUCUCACUGGAAGAAAGCAAAGAAAAUGGAUCCUAUACAUUAUGGAGGACUCUUUUUCUGGAGUGGCAGCACGUCUUUUGUAUCACUGAUGAACACUCAAAGAUCCUUCCCACCAUCAAAUACCUGUAUUCCAGACUAGAUGACCUUGUAUUCCAUUUUCCAUCAUGUUCUUAGAUGAGGAUGAUUGGAUAAGAUUGCCUUUAAACCUUCUCAACAUUGCUCCUUCAUUUUCCAAAGACAUUGCUGUUGACCUGCCAUUCCCUCUCGACUCAGACACAAUAAGCUUACCAUAUAGCUUCUGCAUGACCUGAGGAUGGAGAACACUGUACUCUGCAUGUGCUUCACUUACCUAGAAAAGCCAUUAGCCCAGACAAUAAACUGCUAAAGGAGGCUGCAAAGUCAUAUCACUUUUAUGAUGUUGCUAUGCUAUGGAUGAUCCAAGUGAGGUCUUGUCCCAAUCUGCAAGUAUUCACCUGAACCUGCCUAAGUAUCAGAGUUUGUCUGUUUGAUCCUCAUCUGCUCUGUUGAGAUGCAUUGUGUGUCCAUCAAGCGUUCCAUGGAGAUGUGAAUAAGUUUGGAUCUAAGAUAUGUAUGUUGAACAUCCAGAGUAAGAGAUAUUUUGUUUGGAGGUGUGGGGGUAGGCUGGACUAUUAUAUAUACAGGAUCCUCUUGCAAAAUACCAAUUUGGACUUACAGCUGGAUUUUGAACUGCUUCAAAUAUAAGGGCUGUUGAUGGCUAGCUAUUUGGUUGAAGCCUAUCUCUAUGUAUAAUGGGCCAAAUUCUCUGCAGUUAUAAAUAGGUACUGUUAACUGAAGCCACAGGACUACAUCCAUUUACAGCAGCAGAGAAUGUCUUAAUCAAAUACAUUUUAUGUAUAUGCAAACUACAUAUCAGUUGCUAUAUUUCAAAUGUCCUGUUCAUUGGCUUCCUACAUAACAUUUGUAAUGUACUCACUCACUUCUUAUUGUUACAUACAUUUUAUGUGCCUUGAAAGCUUAAACACACUCCAGUACAUAUUCCCCCAAGAACUACUUAUAGAAAAGGAGUGUAAUUGUUUUCUCUGUGUGCAGUUACAGCCUUUCAAAUUGCUUUUGGGACACAGUCACCAAUGGAGAAUGAAGCUUUGGUUUUCAUUUUAGAGCAGCAGUCCGAGCAAGCAGAUGUAGCCAAAUGAGGCUGACAUUUAAAGCAACUACUAAGAUUACAUUACGGAGAUUAUAUUUAAUAUGGCUGGCCAAAUCUUUCGUACAAAAUCAAUGUUCUUUUACUUAAUAAUACCCUCAGCACAUCUUAAUGAAGGCUCCUUCAGGACAAGGUCCUAUUUUUCUCCAGUCAUUUUGUUCUGUGACAUCGCUGUCUGCAUCAGAUGGUACAUAAUGUUAUUUUCAUCUGUUUCUAUUGAAUUUACUACAUUCCCAUUUUUGAUUUGUCAAUUUCAAUAUCAAUUAAUCAAAGAAUUCUGAGGAGGGAAAUAUUUUAUUACAGAACAAGGAAGAGAAAUUAAUUUAAAUCUUGUGCUUUUCUCUAACACCCGCUUUGUAUUAAUGUUCCAUCCAGCAAUCAUCAGCAGGAGCAAAACCCUAGACCUUCAGCACAAGCCUCUCCUGCUUGAACUAAAGGACAAAGUGUGAGCAGAUGGUUCAUAGCCUCUUCUCUGUUAAGCAGGCAGUACUGGAAAAGGCCUGCUUUCACCCAAAUACUCCUGCCUUAAUUAGAAUAGACUUCACAUUCUCAUUAAGAGUCCCUCUUCCUAGCUUCUAAUUGCUAGGAAAACCAACAAGAAGGUUGUUUUGUUUUAUUUUUAAUUACUAUUUGAAUCACACAAAUAUCAUUACUGAUAGCGCUAUGUGACAUUAUCAGUGUGCCCAUGGGCAGAUCUAGAAUUUUGAAAAAGGGGGCGCAGAUGGUGAGGUGCAUCAUCACAUAUAAAAACACCACAUAUUUUUCAUCAGUUAAAAAUAAACUAGAAGCUUUACUAAUAUGCUAGUGGCUAGGGCUGUAUUAGUCAAUUAAAGAUUGAUGCAAAAACAAAUGUAACUUCAUUGGAAUGGCUUAAAAACAAUCUGUGCCGCUGUGAAAUAGGAGCUUCAUGACCAGGAGCAGCUAACAGACAGCAGAAUUGCAGAACAAAGGAUACUUCUACUGGGGGAACAUUAAGACUAUUCAAAAGAAGAGAGAAUCAUUAACACCUGUGGAAUGAAGAGUUUAGAAGGGAUCAGGUAGAUUAUAAUGAGCCAUGAAAUCAAGUGAACCCCCUCAGCACUGCCUGAGUUGAAAUGCUGCUGCCACUGCCACUGCCAGGCAGUUGGUUUAAAACUUUGGGCAGAACAAGAAACAAAAUGAGGUGCAAGUGCAUCAAUGCUCCCCCCUUCCCUGGGAUCCACCCCUGUGUGUGCCCCAUGGUAUGAUAGGACAUUCAGAAAUUAAGCUCUGGUGUACCAGGACCAGCUCUGGAGUCCCUUGAGAUACAAAUGAUUCCAGAGCAGAUUGAGAAACAUUUCUAGCACAUGCAGCUCUGCAAUCCAGAGUAGGCCAACUACAGAUACAUUCUACAAGGACCAAACCAGUUGCAGCCAUAAGAGGCUAAAAAAUAAAGAGCAAAAGGGUUGCUGUACCAGUGACUCCAGCUAUUGGCGAUGCAUAGGGGGUGCCCGUGGGUGUACAUGCACCCCCUGAGAUUGGCCGUGUACCUGCUGAGAUUGCUGCUGCCGGCGGUGUCUGUGGGUGGUUGCCGCUUGCCACCCCUCACUCCACUGCUGACAUUACCAGCAGUGUGUGUGGGUGGUCAUCAAUCGCCACUUGGCGCUCGCCACCCCCUCUCCCCCUGCUGCCGCCACACUGCAGCUGCAUGUGAGCGGAUCCUGCUCAGCCUGCCCUCACCGCUGACAUAACCACAGCUGCCUGUGGGUGAUCCUCACUCGCCACCACCAUACCUCCUCUGCCACUGCCUGCAGGCAGUCGCCAUGCUCCCCUAGCCUUGGACCACACGAGGCGUUCAUGACUCCAGCUUCAUUGGGGAUUGCCAGGCUAGUGUAGUUAAUGUAAGAGUCAUCUUGAACCUAUGUCUAAUUUCAAGCCAAAUGUCAUCCUUUGUUUGCAGGCUGCAAAUACUGUGUUCAUGAAUUCACUGCCUAAGAGUGAAUUUUGACUCACCAGGACCACUACAGUGAAUUCCAGGUGCUGGUCCAAGCUCAGCGCUUGACUGUUCUUGAACCCAGAAUUGUGACUCAAUUGUGAUAUUGUGUGCCUAAACAUCUAAUCCCACAAUGCACUUGUGGCAUCUCUGUCACAAGCUGCAACAUAUUGCCCCAAUAUUGUAGCAUAAUAUGGCAUGACUUUCCUUCCUAAAUCUGUAAUCAAAUUCAUUCAACUAUAGCUACUUUUAGCACAGUGACUCCAUUUUCCUUUAUACAUACACUGGCUAGAUCAGAUGUUUCAUUUUGCCUUAUAGCCAAAUGACAAAUAAGGAGAGGAAGGGAGGGGGAAGGGAAGACCGUUCAUGAAAAAUAGAAAAGCAUCAUCUUGAUAUUGGAGAAAAAAGAUGAGUAAGUCCUACAGAGCUAUAUAAAUAUCAUAGAUGAAAAUAGAAAGACAGUUUGAAUAAAAUUGGAUGUUUCCACAAGCCCUCACCCUUGACUCAAUCCAAGGUAUCUUUGCAGGUCAUAAAAUCCAGUAAAACAUUUUUCCUUUGCUGCUUUUUUAUGUAUAUGCAAAGUGACCCUGCACUCUCUCACUCUGACUGCAGCCAAAAGCAAAAGCACCAGAAUGCCUUGGGAAAUGCAUGCAUGCAUCCUCUCACACUUUAUUUACAUUACUACCCACAGCACAAAAGUACCAGAAAACUGACCAGGAAGUCUUCAGCUCCAACAAACUGCUCAGCACUUAGUCUACGCUUAACUGAACUUCAUUCAUUAUGUAUCUACAAGACGCACCUAAUCUAGAACCCAAACCCCAAAGAUCUGAAUGCCUCCAAAUAUUGUGGUAGUUCAGAUCUGGUCCUAAACGUUGUGGCUGGGCUUUCUCUGUGCACAGUGGACUGAACCAAACCCCAGACCCAAACACUCUUGAAUAUGAAUCAAGCUUGAUUCUUUGUCUAAGCUCACAGCUGAAUUAAUUCAGGUCGGCAUCUCUUUACACAAAUGCUGAUGAAAGGAAGGUGGACAUUCAGGUCUACAGAAAUUCUGUGCCAGUGUGUAGGCUGCAAAAUUUAAAAAGGGAUUAAUAAAAUACAAGCUAGAAAUUAAAAAAUAACAUUGGAUGGACUAUGAUCUUAUUUUCCAUGUUCCACCAGAGCCUUUAUCAAUCCCAUCUUUUUUUUUUUUUUUUUACUAGAAGAAAACCCGCCAGUUGCCACAGGGUUCUUAGUGAGAAUGCAUUUCCCCACCCCCCUUUGCAGAGGAAAGGCACAAGCUGGUGAUUCUUGUUUGCUAAAGACAGAUACCCCAUAAUGGAUGAGGCAUCUUCCUGGAAUUCGCAUUCUAUGCCCAAGGACCAAUUGGCACAUCUACCUGAUGUUGCAAGGAGAACGUCAGAACAGGAUCACAACAGGACCACACUACAGUGCCGUGUCGAGGCUAAGAUGCUGCAGGCAAAAUUCCACAGGGAUGUUGACAGAGCACAGCAGCAGGACACCGCACUCCAUUACAUGGCUCAGUACAGGUACUUCCAGCUGCUAAUUGAGGUACUGAAUUGGCAUGAACACCGAGGGACAGAGACUUCCAAGGCAUCCUGUCCUGCAGACAGUUUGCCAACCAUGGCUGCCACUCGCAGGCAAUCCAGGGACUCCAGUGGAGAAGAAAGCAAAAGAGUCCCGGCCAUGCCACCAUCCGGUUCCUCCAAGGAGGGUAGACCAAGGACCUUGAUCUCCACACCUGGUAUGUGAAGCCCUGGGGAACUUUAUAGUCACCUGUCACCUGAAUUGACAGCUGUUUGCAGCUGGAUUGUACUUGUUUACAGCCACUCAGGGUCUGCUACCAACUGUGGCCAGGCACCCAUUCUCGGUAAUUUUGGUUCGAAUGCUUUCUUUCCGCACACAUGCAAGAUUCGCUGAGUGUGUCUAUUUUGAGUGGCAAGAGUCCUUAAUUCACUCUAUUUCACACAUUUGUUGAUUUUCUUGAUUUCCUUGAUUUUCAGCUCUGAUUCCAAGGAUACCCAGGCAACUAAGGCAGACUGUAUCCAGUGCUAGAACUGACAGGGUGGUGAAUGCCCUCAGGGAAUGUGAACAGUGGGUGCAAGAGCUGGUCAGACAGGUUAGUUGUGCUGUGGGAAGCAUCAUGGGAAUCCAACACAAAAGGAACUAUGCUAAGUCCAGGAGGCAUUCCAACACACAGCAGGACAGGAAAGUACUGAUGGGCAUACUGCUAACCAUUCUAUGCCUGGUGGUCAUCAGACCCGGUCCUGCAGCAGCCUCUGCACCUGCCCAUGCCAGUGAGCAGCAACGGUGGGCAUGGAUCUGCACUCUGCAAUCCAACAGUUCUCUGUCAAGCUCAGAAUAAUUAGUAAGAAUAGUUAUUAAUUAGCUCUGAGUAGUUAGUAAUUGUUAUAGUAAUUGUUUAGUUAUUGUCAUAGUAAUAGUUUAGUUAAUUGUUAUAGUAUAAUUAUAGUACAGUAAUCCAUAGUUAUUCAUAGUACUUUUGAAUCAAAAUUUUUAAAAAGUUGUUCUUUGGUUUGUUUCCUUUUUUAUUUUUGUUGUUUGUAAAUAAAGUUUUCUAUUCCCUUUGUUGCA